AAAAAAUUAGUUAAUUUAUAUAACAUGAGCUUGUCAGGCUUAAGUAACUAAGACUUUAGUAUUUUUUG
rnacentral:tRNA from 1 species